UGCUGUGGAGGACCCCUAAGGAUGGCAGAGAAUGCCCAGCGCCGCCCAUGAAUGAGAACGAGGGAAAAACGCCUCACGUAGAGCCGGGCGUCGGGAUUGUCCAAACGGAGAGGUCCCCUUAGCGAAGUGCGCCUCGGCUUAGUUUAGACGCGCGCUGUCCUGCCAGAGGGCUGCGAUGAGACGUGGGCACCGGGGCUGCUCUGGAGCGCCCCUGACGGCACGGCCGGGGAAGUGAGGAGCCACAGGCAGCGGAGGGCAGGAAGGCGGGAGGAGUGGCAGGAAGGCGGGAGGAGUGGCAGGAAGGCGGGAGGAGUGGCAGGAAGGCGGGAGGAGUGGCAGGAAGGCGAGGGACAGCCUCCGCUUCCAGCGUCCCCCAGAACGCGGAGAGGCAGCCUGAGUCUUACUCUCCCACCACAUCAAUUCCCAGCACCGUGGGCCCCGGGGCCACUUUAUUUUUUGUAUUUUUUUGAGAUGGGGUGUCUCUGUCGCCCAGGCUGGAGUCCGGUGGUGCGAUCUCGGCUCACUGCAACCUCCGCCUCCCGGGUUCACACCAUUCUCCUGCCUCAGCCUCCGGAGUAGCUGGGGUUACAGGCCCCCAGUCCACUUUCUUGGAGUCUGCUGUGUCUGACCAAAAAGCCCAUCUUCGCCACAUCUAAAGCUGGAAGUUCAUUUGCCAGCGUUGUUUAGAGCAAAAAGAGACACAUCGUCAUGCAAAUCUGGACUCACAUUUUUGAACCUCAGCUUCUUCACCCAGAUAAUUAUGACAACAGUCCUCACCUCCAAGGAUUGAUCUGUGCCUCAGCCCUGAACCUAAUGAUGGGCAAGAAAAGAUAUUCCUGCUUCUACCCUACACAACUCUAAGGGGACAGCACACUGAAACCCUCCCAAACUGUCAAGAAGAUCUGAAAAAGUCAAUCACUUUUGCUUUGCACAUAUUUGAUAUUAGCACAGCAUGAAUCCCAGUUUGAGCCCGCAUUAAGUUAAGCCUAGGAUUCGACAUGGGCCCAUGCCUAAGACCUAGGGAAAGGAACUGCAACGGAACAAUGUCCGAAACCCAAGGCUGCUUAUUACAAUCUCGUUCAGAACAAAAGUGCAACCAGGCCGAGCGCGGUGGCUCACGCCUGUAAUCCCACCACUUUGGGAGGCUGAGGCUGGUGGAUCACGACGUCAGGAGUUCAAGACCAGCCUGGCCAACAUGGUGAAACCCUGUCUCUACUAAAAAUACAAAAAGUAGCCGAGUGUGGUGGCGGGUGCCUGUAAUCCCAGCUACUCAGGAGGCUGAGGCAGGAGAAUCGCUUGAACCCAGGACGCGGAGGUUGCAGUGAGCCAAGAUCGCGCCACUGCACUCCAGCCUGAGUGACAGAGCAAGACUCUGUCUCAAAAAAAAAAAUAAAAUAAAAAAAUAAAAGCGCGACCAGACAGCACUGCUUUCUCAUUUCUGCAAGAGUGUAGUUCAAGUCAAAGUCAGAACUGUGAUGCCCUAGACUGCCGAAAAUUGUUGGACCAACAACUGCCGGGAAGCCCAGGGGAGGCCUGGUAGGCAGGCAGAGGCCCAUGAGGAAGAGCUCUCAGCCAGUGCCACUCAGCAGAGCCCUCUGCAUGGAAUUAAUCACAACAAAGAGAAAGAAGGACCCAGAAGAAAAAUCCAAACACCUCAUGGAGUCUCCCCGAAGAGCAGCCCCCAAAGGAAAAUCCAAACACCUCAUGGAGUCUCCCCAAAGAGCAUCCCCCAAAGGAAUCGAAAAGAAUUGGAGCUGGUUGGGAUUUCCAUAGUGUGUGCCAGGGAGACGGUAAAUCAUUACUUUGAUUCUGCUAUACUAGCUUUGUUUUUACCUCCAGGCAGCUGUGAAAGAGGUAAAUAUGGAAUACAUUAACAUAUUAUUUCAGAAAAUUGUAGCCAUUAGGCUCAGCUUGCUUUUUUUUUUUUCUUUGAGACAAAGUCUCACUCUGUCACCCAGGCUACAGUGCGGAGGUGCCAUCAUAAUUCACUGCAGCUUCAAACUCCCAGCCUCAAGGAACCCUCGAGUCUUAGCUUCCAGAGUAGCUGGGACUACAGGCACAUGCCACUACUGCUGGCUAAUUUUUAAAUUUUUUGUACAGACAGGGUCCUGCUAUGUUGCCUAGGCUGGUCUUGAACUCCUGGCCUCAAGCAAUCCUCCUGCCUUGGCUUCUCAGUGUUGGGAUUACAGGCAUGAGCCACAGUGACCAGCCAGGCUCAGCUCUUUAAAACCAUUUCCUCAUCCUUCAUAAUAAGCCAUAGUUUGGACAUAGGGACUUCUCUGGUUAUGUCAAAGAAUAUUUCACAGUCCAACCAAAAAACCAAGUUAAAGGAUUAGAACACAGUUCUCUAUUCUUUCAAAUUACCAUUUUUGUGUACAUUAUCAAACCAGCCAGUUGUCAAGAACGUGGACACUAAAAUAAAAUGCAUCUGUUCAAACACCAGCGAAAGCUCUUAUAGCUGUACAACCCUGAACAAAUUCUUUAAUUUCUGGUGUCUCACUGUCCUCAUUUGUAAAGUGAAGCUAAUAAUUUUAGCUACCUUAUGGUUGUGUUGUAAGGAUGAAAAGGGUUAAUGCAUUUAAAGCACUUAGACCAAUGCCAGGCACCUACUUAAGCUUAGCUCGGUAAAAGUUAGCUAAUAAUGAAAUACACAUUCAUUCUGUGGUAAGAGACCAGCAGGAUUUGCUUUCUGGUCAUAACCCUGCUGACCAAAACAGGAUCUGGUCCAGAGAGGAGAAACUGAAGAAAUCAGCAGAAACCAACAGAUGGCAGAGAGGCUGAUCCCUGGCUGCCCUCAUUGCUUAGUUGCAUAAGAUACUUCCACCAGCACCAUCACAGUUUACAAAUGCCAUGGCAACAAACCAGAAGUUACCAUCCCUUCCAUGGCCACCACCAAGAAGUUACCAUCCCUUUCCUGGAACAUCCUAAAUAACCCACUCCUCAAUUUGCAUUAACCUGCCCCUGAGUUUGCAUAGAAUUGAAGUGUGUAAAAGUGAGUGUAAAUAUAGCUGCCAAUAGCCCAUAUGUUGCUGACUCUGGGCCCACUGCCUAUGAGUUAGCCCUGCUCCACUAGGAGCAGUACCAGUCAAUAAAAGAUUGCUAACACUACUGGCAUGUCCUUGAAUUCUUUCCUGAGCAAAGCCAAGAACCCUCCUGAGCUAAGCCCCUAUUUUGGGGCAUCAAUUCCACGAGUACUUGUGGAGUGCAUGUACAUGAUGAACACUUUUGCACACUGGAGAUAUGGGAGAGAACAAACUAUACAAGAUGAUCUUCCUCAGGGAGCUUAUAUUCUAAAUAUUCUCUAAGUGGAUCAAUAGCUCAAUACUCCAGUGUACCAUAGUUAAAUACUUCCAUACAAUCAGGUAUUCAGAGUUCAUAGCUUCCCGUUGUUACAAAUAGCAUUAGUAACAAUCAAAAUGUCUGCCUAGAUUUUGAAUUUUUUUAGAAUGGACAUCCAGAAAUUGAACUAUUGGGUCAAAAGUUUCCGACAUUAUUUCAAGGAAUAUAUACCUGGUCUUUAAAAUAAUUCAGUUAGCAUCUAUCUGUAAAAUAUAAA
rnacentral:lncRNA from 10 species